GGCGGACGGGUGAGUAACACGUGGGCAACCUGCCCGAAAGACCGGGAUAACAUCCGGAAACGGAUGCUAAUACCGGAUAAGCGGACCUUUCGCAUGAAGGGUUCGGGAAAGACGGGGCAACCUGUCACUUUCGGAUGGGCCCGCGGCGCAUUAGCUGGUUGGCGGGGUAACGGCCCACCAAGGCGACGAUGCGUAGCCGACCUGAGAGGGUGAACGGCCACACUGGGACUGAGACAUGGCCCAGACUCCUACGGGAGGCAGCAGUAGGGAACCUUCCGCAAUGGACGAAAGUCUGACGGAGCAACGCCGCGUGAGUGAGGAAGGUCUUCGGAUCGUAAAGCUCUGUUGCCAGGGAAGAAUCCCCUGGGGAGUCACUGCCCCGGGGUUGACGGUACCUGAGAAGAAAGCCCCGGCUAACUACGUGCCAGCAGCCGCGGUAAUACGUAGGGGGCGAGCGUUGUCCGGAAUUAUUGGGCGUAAAGCGCGCGCAGGCGGUUUUGUAAGUCCGAUUGUUUAAACCCGGGGCUCAACCUCGGGUCGCAAGGGAAACUGCAAGACUUGAGUGCAGGAGAGGGAAGCGGAAUUCCAUGUGUAGCGGUGAAAUGCGUAGAGAUAUGGAGGAACACCAGUGGCGAAGGCGGCU
rnacentral:rRNA from 1 species